GACGAACGCUGGCGGCGUGCUUAACACAUGCAAGUCGAACGGAAAGGCCCUGCUUUUGUGGGGUGCUCGAGUGGCGAACGGGUGAGUAACACGUGAGUAACCUGCCCUUGACUUUGGGAUAACGUCAGGAAACUGGGGCUAAUACCGGAUAGGAGCUCCUGCUGCAUGGUGGGGGUUGGAAAGUUUCGGCGGUUGUGGAUGGACUCGCGGCUUAUCAGCUUGUUGGUGGGGUAGUGGCUUACCAAGGCUUUGACGGGUAGCCGGCCUGAGAGGGUGACCGGCCACAUUGGGACUGAGAUACGGCCCAGACUCCUACGGGAGGCAGAAGUGGGGAAUAUUGCACAAUGGGCGGAAGCCUGAUGCAGCAACGCCGCGUGCGGGAUGACGGCCUUCGGGUUGUAAACCGCUUUCGCCUGUGACGAAGCGUGAGUGACGGUAAUGGGUAAAGAAGCACCGGCUAACUACGUG
rnacentral:rRNA from 1 species